CCUUUUGUAGAAUGAACCGGCGAGUUACGAUCUGAUGCAAGGUUAAGCAGAAAAUGUGGAGCCGUAGCGAAAGCGAGUCUGAAUAGGGCGAAUGAGUAUUUGGUCGUAGACCCGAAACCAGGUGAUCUACCCUUGGUCAGGUUGAAGUUCAGGUAACACUGAAUGGAGGACCGAACCGACUUACGUUGAAAAGUGAGCGGAUGAACUGAGGGUAGCGGAGAAAUUCCAAUCGAACUUGGAGAUAGCUGGUUCUCUCCGAAAUAGCUUUAGGGCUAGCCUCAAGUGAUGAUUAUUGGAGGUAGAGCACUGUUUGGACGAGGGGCCCCUCUCGGGUUACCGAAUUCAGACAAACUCCGAAUGCCAAAUAAUUUAACUUGGGAGUCAGAAUGUGGGUGAUAAGGUCCAUAUUCGAAAGGGAAACAGCCCAGACCACCAGCUAAGGUCCCAAAAUAUAUGUUAAGUGGAAAAGGAUGUGGCGUUGCCCAGACAACUAGGAUGUUGGCUUAGAAGCAGCCAUCAUUUAAAGAGUGCGUAAUAGCUCACUAGUCGAGUGACACUGCGCCGAAAAUGUACCGGGGCUAAACAUAU
rnacentral:rRNA from 1 species